ACGGGUGAGUAACACGUGGGAACGUGCCCUUCGGUUCGGAAUAACUCAGGGAAACUUGAGCUAAUACCGGAUACGCCCUUUUGGGGAAAGGCUUGCUGCCGAAGGAUCGGCCCGCGUCUGAUUAGCUUGUUGGUGGGGUAACGGCCUACCAAGGCGACGAUCAGUAGCUGGUCUGAGAGGAUGAUCAGCCACACUGGGACUGAGACACGGCCCAGACUCCUACGGGAGGCAGCAGUGGGGAAUAUUGGACAAUGGGCGCAAGCCUGAUCCAGCCAUGCCGCGUGAGUGAUGAAGGCCUUAGGGUUGUAAAGCUCUUUUGUCCGGGACGAUAAUGACGGUACCGGAAGAAUAAGCCCCGGCUAACUUCGUGCCAGCAGCCGCGGUAAUACGAAGGGGGCUAGCGUUGCUCGGAAUCACUGGGCGUAAAGGGCGCGUAGGCGGCCGAUUAAGUCGGGGGUGAAAGCCUGUGGCUCAACCACAGAAUUGCCUUCGAUACUGGUUGGCUUGAGACCGGAAGAGGACAGCGGAACUGCGAGUGUAGAGGUGAAAUUCGUAGAUAUUCGCAAGAACACCAGUGGCGAAGGCGGCUGUCUGGUCCGGUUCUGACGCUGAGGCGCGAA
rnacentral:rRNA from 1 species